CCUACGGGAGGCAGCAGUAGGGAAUAUUGCUCAAUGGGGGAAACCCUGAAGCAGCAACGCAGCGUGAAGGAUGAAGGUUUUCGGAUUGUAAAAUCUUUUUGAUAGAGAAGAUAAUGACGGUAUCUAACGGAUAAGCACCGGCUAACUCCGUGCCAGCAGCCGAGGUAAUACGGAGGGUGCAAGCGUUAUUCGGAAUCACUGGGCGUAAAGAGAGCGUAGGCGGGAUAGCAAGUCAGAUGUGAAAUCCUAUGGCUUAACCAUAGAAUUGCAUUUGAAACUGUUAUUCUAGAGUAUGGGAGAGGUAGGCGGAAUUCUUGGUGUAGGGGUAAAAUGCGUAGAGAUCAAGAGGAAUACUGAUUGCGAAGGCGACCUGCUAGACCACAACUGACGCUGAUGCGCGAAAGCGUGGGGAGCAAACAGGAUUAGAUACCCUGGUAGUC
rnacentral:rRNA from 1 species